CAGUAGCCGCGGGAAAACGGAGGGUGCAAGCGUUAAUCGGAAUUACUGGGCGUAAAGCGCACGCAGGCGGUCUGACAAGUCAGAUGUGAAAUCCCCGGGCUUAACCUGGGAACUGCAUUUGAAACUGUCAGGCUGGAGUCUUGUAGAGGGGGGUAGAAUUCCAGGUGUAGCGGUGAAAUGCGUAGAGAUCUGGAGGAAUACCGGUGGCGAAGGCGGCCCCCUGGACAAAGACUGACGCUCAGGUGCGAAAGCGUGGGGAGCAAACAGGAUUAGAUACCCGAGUAGUCCCUGUCUCUUAUAC
rnacentral:rRNA from 1 species